rnacentral:rRNA from 1 species
AUGAACGCUAGCGGCAGGCUUAACACAUGCAAGUCGAGGGGCAGCAUAUUUGGUAGUAAUACUAAGUGAUGGCGACCGGCGCACGGGUGCGUAACGCGUAUGCAACCUACCAUAUACAGGGGGAUAACCUUUCGAAAGGGAGCCUAAUACCCCAUAGUAUUGUUUUUUGGCAUCAAGAAGCAAUUAAAGAUUUAUUGGUAUAUGAUGGGCAUGCGUGCCAUUAGCUAGUUGGCGAGGUAACGGCUCACCAAGGCUACGAUGGCUAGGGGUUCUGAGAGGAAGAUCCCCCACACUGGUACUGAGACACGGACCAGACUCCUACGGGAGGCAGCAGUGAGGAAUAUUGGUCAAUGGGCGGAAGCCUGAACCAGCCAUGCCGCGUGCAGGAAGACGGCCCUACGGGUUGUAAACUGCUUUUAUGUGAGGAUAAACCUAGAUUUGCGAAUCUAGCUGAAGGUAUCACAUGAAUAAGGAUCGGCUAACUCCGUG